CAGUAGCGCGGGAAUACGAAGGGGGCUAGCGUUGCUCGGAAUGACUGGGCGUAAAGCGUGCGUAGGUGGUGGUUUAAGUCCGUUGUGAAAGCCCUGGGCUCAACCUGGGAAUUGCAGUGGAUACUGGGUCACUAGAGUGUGGUAGAGGAUAGUGGAAUUUCCGGUGUAGCAGUGAAAUGCGUAGAGAUCGGAAGGAACAUCUGUGGCGAAGGCGACUAUCUGGGCCAACACUGACACUGAGGCACGAAAGCGUGGGGAGCAAACAGGAUUAGAUACCCGGGUAGUCCCUGUCUCUUAUACC
rnacentral:rRNA from 1 species